GGUAUUCCAGGAGAGUGUAAGACCCCUCUCCAGCCACUAAUAAGGGUGUCUGUGUGAGCUGCAGUGCUGAAAGCUUGUGUGACUUGCAAGGAAGACACUGUGGGAGUCUGGACCUUAGUUCCUGGAGGUCUGCGAGCAGUCAGUGUAAAAGAAUGAGCUUCCAGGAGGUUUGAGAGGCUCAUGGGGAGACACAACAAAUCUUUACUCUUGAAGGCCAACAAGAUGCUACCCUCACUAUACUUCUCACUGGCAACCAUCUUUGGGUGACGUGACAGCAAUGAAUACAAAACUUGAUGGCAGCCAACCCAGAUGGCUUCCGAGCGGGCAAAGACAGCCCUGCACCACCAACUACCACUGGCUGACAGCAUUUCCACAUGCCUAGAAUGUACCAUCCAG